rnacentral:rRNA from 1 species
CCUACGGGGGGCAGCAGUGGGGGAUAUUGCACAAUGGGGGAAACCCUGAUGCAGCGACGCCGCGUGGGUGAAGAAGCGCCUCGGCGCGUAAAGCCCUGUCAGCAGGGAAGAAAAUGACGGUACCUGAAGAAGAAGCCCCGGCUAACUACGUGCCAGCAGCCGCGGUAAUACGUAGGGGGCAAGCGUUAUCCGGAUUUACUGGGUGUAAAGGGGGCGUAGACGGCGAUGCAAGCCAGGAGUGAAAGCCCGGGGCCCAACCCCGGGACUGCUCUUGGAACUGGGUGGCUAGAGUGCAGGAGGGGCAGGCGGAAUUCCUGGUGUAGCGGUGAAAUGCGUAGAUAUCAGGAGGAACACCGGUGGCGAAGGCGGCCUGCUGGACUGCAACUGACGUUGAGGCCCGAAAGCGUGGGGAGCAAACAGGAUUAGAUACCCCAGUAGUC